UGCUAUCAACUUGAGAAGAAAGCGGAGCUUCUAGAUUUAACGGAUGAGUUAAAGGAAACUGUUAA
rnacentral:tRNA from 1 species